rnacentral:lncRNA from 10 species
CAUAAUGCUGGACUUGUGACGUCACUCUCAAUUGUUUCCAGAUGGCUUAUCAGACUGAUCAAAAAGAAGGUGAAGCCAAUAUGUUAGUUAAAAAGUAGAUCUUCAAACAGGACAAAACAACUAUAGGUAAAGUAAAUUGCCUUUUCUCUCUGUCCUAAAAUAAAAUCUUUGAUCAAUUGUUCCAGUGUAUGAAAAUUUGAACUCUAAAGAGACCAGGCAGCUUUCUAAACCCAAACAUCAAAAGCUUUGCUUCCAUUAGAAAAAUUUAAACCCAUGAUACUUUGAAUGGAUUUGAAAUUCUCUAAAAUGAGCUCUAAUAAUAACCUUCCCAAACAGAAAGAAAAAGAACAGUAGGUUAUAUGGCUUCGUGCUACCAUUUUCUCUGGAACAUUAGUUUUCCAAAGAUGCCAUUUUGGCUCGUACCAAAUAAAAGGGCAAAGGUUACCAAAUGCAAGCCUAGGGAAGCCAGGAGACAGAACAGCUAUUACAAUGGAGGGGGAAAUCCAAGCUGUCAGCUCUGAAUGGAUAGAAAUUGCAUGUGUGAAAUUGACAACCAGCAACAGCAUGGUACCGUCAGAGGGGCCAGGAAAUGAGCUCGACCGGGAUUUCUGUUUACUGUAUUAGAGCUGCGGUUUUGUAGAGUUUUAUUUAAGAUUCACAGGUCAAAAUAAUAAGCAAACUACAUUUUAUAACUAUCAAGAGAAAAAUAAAUUACGAGCAGCAAACAGCUGAUAAUAGAAAAAGGCUGGAAGAAACAAUAACCAAGAGGGGGAAAAAAUUAGUGUGGCAGCAGAUGCACGCGUUGUAGCUGCGGGAUUAAAUGCCACUUCCAUUCUCCCUUGGCCACCAUUGUGCA